GACGAACGCUGGCGGCGUGCUUAACACAUGCAAGUCGAACGAUGAAGCGCCUUCCUUUUUGGUGGGUGUGGAUGAGUGGCGAACGGGUGAGUAACACGUGAGUAACCUGCCCCCUUCUUCUGGAUAACCGCAUGAAAGUGUGGCUAAUACGGGAUAUUCUGGGUCUGUCGCAUGAUGGGUCUGGGAAAGAUAUUGUUUCGGUGGGGGAUGGGCUCGCGGCCUAUCAGCUUGUUGGUGGGGUGAUGGCCUACCAAGGCGGUGACGGGUAGCCGGCCUGAGAGGGUGGACGGUCACACUGGGACUGAGACACGGACCAGACUCCGACGGGAGGCAGCAGUGGGGAAUAUUGCACAAUGGGCGCAAGCCUGAUGCAGCGACGCCGCGUGAGGGAUGGAGGCCUUCGGGUUGUGAACCUCUUUCGCCAGUGAAGCAGGCCUGCCUCGUUUGUGGGUGGGUUGACGGUAGCUGGAUAAGAAGCGCCGGCUAACUACGUG
rnacentral:rRNA from 1 species